GACACUGAACACCGCAUUCGACAAACGCGAGAGCUGCAGCGGACAAACGCGAUUGGUGCCGACGAGAACGACGAGGACGCUGAGGACGCUGGUGAUUCCGCAACACAGAGCAGAGCGGCGACGGCAGCCUUACCGCAACACAUGUUUUAAGCCAUUUAUUUGGACAGAAUCAUCCUGCAAUUCGCUGUUUUUGAGAGAAGAGGAAGAUAUUGCAAAGUCGACUUGAGGCUGCGUUGGUGUGAGUCACUCGUACGUAUAGUCUUAGAGGGAAACUAGCAGAGCGCACCCGGCGAAUUCAAGCGGUGGAGCCAAACAGUUAGCUAGCGUUAGCCUGUUAGCUUACCCGAUAGCACCGGAGCCGCUCUGACCGGUCACCUGCGCACCUCACUGCCCAGAGGUAGCAGUCAACGCAGCGGGGUCCCGGUCUGAUACUUUAAUUUAUUUAGGUUUGAGUCAUCAGAAAGAGGAGGAGGGAGAGAGAGAACCGCGACAGGUUGAGUCGGGACCAGCGGGGCGAAACAAGCGGUGUCCUCAAGUGUCCGUUCAGCCAUGGACAACGGACACACGAAGACCGUGGAGGAAGUUUACAGCUUCUUCAACGUGAACGAGAGCACCGGGCUGAGCUUAGAGCAAGUGAAGAAGCAACGGGAGCGAUAUGGACCCAACGAAUUGCCAGCUGAGGAGGGUAAAUCCCUUUGGGAACUCGUGGUUGAACAGUUUGAAGAUUUGCUUGUGAGGAUCCUUUUACUUGCUGCCUGCAUAUCCUUUGUGCUGGCCUGGUUUGAAGAGGGAGAAGAAACCAUUACAGCCUUUGUGGAGCCUUUUGUUAUCCUGCUUAUUCUCAUAGCAAAUGCCAUCGUAGGAGUCUGGCAGGAACGAAAUGCAGAAAAUGCCAUUGAAGCGCUCAAGGAGUAUGAGCCAGAGAUGGGGAAGGUGUACCGCCAGGACAGGAAAAGUGUUCAGAGAAUCAAGGCCAGGGACAUUGUGCCUGGGGACAUCGUGGAGGUUGCAGUCGGUGAUAAAGUGCCUGCAGACAUCAGGCUGUCAUCGAUCAAGUCAACAACACUGAGGGUAGACCAGUCAAUUCUCACAGGAGAGUCUGUGUCUGUGAUCAAACACACUGACCCUGUGCCUGAUCCACGUGCUGUCAACCAGGACAAGAAAAACAUGCUUUUUUCUGGCACCAACAUUGCAGCUGGUAAGGCUGUCGGUGUGGUAGUGGCCACAGCUGGCAGCACAGAGAUUGGCAAAAUCCGAGAUGAGAUGGCCUCAACGGAGCAGGAACGCACACCACUGCAGCAAAAGCUGGAUGAGUUCGGACAGCAGCUGUCCAAGGUUAUUACACUGAUCUGCAUUGCUGUGUGGAUCAUCAAUAUUGGACAUUUCAACGAUCCUGUCCACGGAGGCUCCUGGAUCCGAGGUGCUGUCUACUACUUCAAGAUUGCUGUGGCUCUGGCAGUUGCUGCUAUCCCUGAGGGUCUGCCUGCUGUCAUCACUACUUGCCUGGCUCUAGGAACACGGCGCAUGGCCAAGAAGAAUGCCAUUGUCCGCAGUUUGCCGUCUGUGGAGACCCUCGGCUGUACAUCUGUCAUCUGCUCUGACAAGACCGGCACGCUGACCACCAAUCAGAUGUCUGUGUGCAGGAUGUUCAUCAUCGAUCAGGCAGAGGGCAAUCAUUGUUCAUUAAAGGACUUCACUAUUACUGGCUCCACAUAUGCGCCGGAAGGAGAAGUGUUCCAAGAUGGCAAACCGGUCAAAUGUUCCCAGUAUGAUGGUUUGGUGGAGCUGGCCUCUAUCUGUGCUCUCUGUAAUGAUUCCUCAUUGGACUAUAAUGAGACCAAAGGUGUGUAUGAGAAGGUGGGUGAGGCCACUGAGACUGCUCUGACAUGCCUGGUGGAGAAGAUGAACGUGUUUGAUACAGAUGUCAAAGGCCUGUCCAAGAUUGAGCGAGCCAACGCCUGUAAUUCUGUGAUCAAGCAGCUGAUGAAGAAAGAGUUUACUUUGGAAUUUUCAAGAGACAGGAAGUCCAUGUCUGUGUACUGCACUGCUAAUAAGGCCCGGUCCUCUGUUGGCAAGAUGUUCGUAAAGGGUGCCCCUGAGGGAGUGAUUGACAGGUGCACACACAUCCGUGUAGGCAGUAACAAGGUGCCCAUGAGCCCUGGCAUCAAGGAGAAGCUAAUGUCUGUGAUCAGGGAAUAUGGAACAGGCAGGGACACGCUGCGCUGCCUGGCUCUCGCCACCCGAGACCAUCGCAUGGUCAAAGAGGAGCUUAAGUUGGAGGACUGCACCCGCUUUGUUGAAUAUGAGACUGACCUGACAUUUGUUGGCUGUGUGGGCAUGCUGGAUCCUCCCAGGGCAGAGGUGGCAGCCUCUAUCAGACUCUGCCGCCUUGCGGGCAUCCGAGUAAUCAUGAUCACUGGAGACAACAAGGGGACGGCAGUGGCCAUCUGCAGACGUAUCGGUAUUUUCGGAGAGGACGAUGAUGUUUCCAGCAUGGCGUUCACUGGCAGGGAGUUUGAUGAUCUGUCACCUGCUGCACAAAGAGACGCUGUGGUCAAGGCCCGCUGCUACGCCCGCGUUGAGCCUUCACACAAAUCCAAGAUUGUUGAGUAUCUGCAGUCCUAUGAUGAGAUUACAGCAAUGACUGGUGAUGGAGUCAACGACGCUCCUGCUCUAAAGAAGGCUGAAAUUGGUAUUGCCAUGGGCUCAGGCACAGCUGUGGCCAAGACCGCCUCUGAGAUGGUGCUGGCUGAUGACAACUUCUCCACCAUCGUAGCUGCUGUCGAGGAAGGCAGAGCCAUUUACAACAACAUGAAACAGUUCAUCAGAUACCUCAUCUCUUCCAAUGUGGGCGAAGUUGUCUGCAUCUUCCUGACCGCGGCUCUGGGGUUCCCUGAAGCCCUCAUCCCCGUUCAGCUGCUCUGGGUCAACCUGGUGACCGACGGUCUGCCUGCCACCGCUUUAGGGUUCAACCCUCCAGACUUGGACAUCAUGAGCAAGCCACCACGUAACGCCCGCGAGCCCCUCAUCUCUGGAUGGCUCUUCUUCAGAUACCUAGCCAUUGGAUGUUAUGUGGGUGCUGCCACUGUUGGUGCUGCUGCCUGGUGGUUUGUUGCUGCUGAGGAUGGUCCAAGGAUCACGUUUUACCAGCUGAGCCACUUCCUGCAGUGUGGCCCAGAUAACCCAGAGUUCCUGGAUCUGGACUGUAAGGUGUUUGAGUCCCCUUACCCGAUGACCAUGGCCCUGUCUGUGCUGGUCACCAUUGAGAUGUGCAAUGCCCUAAACAGUGUGUCAGAGAACCAGUCCCUGCUGAGGAUGCCUCCCUGGGAGAACGUGUGGCUGCUGGGCGCCAUCUGCCUCUCCAUGUCCCUUCACUUCCUCAUCCUCUACGUGGAGCCUCUCCCAAUCAUCUUCCAGAUCACCCCACUGAAUCUGACACAGUGGCUGAUGGUGCUCAAGAUGUCACUGCCUGUCAUUCUACUUGACGAGUUCCUAAAGUUUGCUGCCAGGAACUACCUGGAGCCCGGUAAAGAACUGGAGAAGCCCGACAGCAGCAAAGGCUGCUGCCUGUCUGCAUGUAUGGAGGGCAUCUCCUGGCCCUUCGUGGCCUUCUCUCUCCCCUUGGUCCUCUGGAUCUACAGCACCGACACUAACAUGGCCGACAUGUUCUGGUCCUGACUGACUUGAGCACAACCUCAACUUUUUGUUCCAUUUCCUCCCCGCCCCCCCACCACCGCCAUCACCUCCCUCUGUCCUCUCCCUCUCUUCCCUCUCUGCCUUCCUACAUGUGCAUAGCUUGCGUGCGUGCGUGUUUGUAGAGUUAGUGUGUGUACUUGUGCGUGCCUACCGUGUGUGUACGAGAAGGACCAACUUUAACACAUGAAUCGUAACAAAUUAUAUGAAAUGUCAACGUUGAGAAGUUACCUGUUUUGAGUUGGGAUAGGAUUUUUUGAAUGGGUGAGGCUUUAAAUGAGAGUGAUAGAAGACCAUCACUCCUGUAGCUGUGGACUUUGUUGCUGGUUUCGAAAGAAAAUAUACUGUUGCCAGUUUUUUUUUUAUUACUUUGUUAAAAUUGCCUUUUAAGGUUUAUAUAUUUUAAUGAUUUUGAGAAUAUCAGUUGUCUUAAGUCACUACAGUAACGACACCAAAUACUUUUGUUUAGCUUCCAUUCUCGUGAAAAGAUCAUUAAGAUGUCAGAAACCCAUCGAUCUGUACAGAGAUAGAAUUUUAUGCAACUUUUUUUAAUGGCUUCGUCAAUUGUUUGACCAGUGUGGCUACAACAUACCGCCUUCAUUUAUUUUUUUUCUCAUGUUUACCAUUGUGUCUUCAGUAUAAACUCAGAACUUUUUCAGAGAGGACAAGCUCCGUGUGGCAGACGAGGACGGGGAAAGGUUUGGGAGUGAACGUUUGAAUGCUCCGCUAAAAAAACCAAAACAAAACAAAAAAUCUGAAAACAAAAGCCGCAUGUCCUGUGACCAAGCAUGAACUGUAUGUGGAUUCUCAUUCCUAAUUUAAUUGUGAUUGUCCCCCCCCCCCCCCCAUGUAAGACUAUAAAUUAACCUCAUGGAUGUUAUUUUUUUUUUUUACUAUAAUGAUUUGAAAACAAGCCAGUUUUUCUGCACUGGGCAGAGCACAGCUACCUCAAUAUGAUAUAAAAAAAGAUAUUUUUUUGCUCAUCUCUAGAUAGUUUCCUAAACGGUCUUGCUUAAGCGUAACAUCUGAGGUGUGCCCCUAUUUACUUGUGCAGAAAACAAGAACAAAAUUUUCCUUCCCUCUAACAUUUAUAAGGAUAUAUUUUGUUUUUUGAUUGAUUUUUUUUUCACUUUCAUUAACUUUAUUUGUGUUUUGCUGUGGAGACAGAGAUGAGUGGGGAUGGUGUAUGUGAAUUGACCAUCUCCAUGGCGUUUGAUUCAAAGGACAGGAAUAUUAAAAUCCUAAGAAAAAAUACUAAUACACAAAGUACUCCAAAUGAACUUGGAUUGCAAAUAAGAACCCAAAAUGUUUUUGUUUUUUUUUACUUCAAGGAAAAAUACACUCAUAAACCCUUUGAAUCAAAGUGUUUUCUGUCUUUAUUUAAUAUGAUUGAGGCCGAUGGCUAUCAACAUUACUCAUAUCCAAUGGUUUUUUUUUGUAUCUGCAUAUUAAACUUGAAUACAAAUCAUUUCAGACACAUGAAUGCUUCAGUGUCUUUGGCACAACAUGACGGGCGGAGAUAUUCAAAGCACAGAGAUCUUGUGUAUAUUUAAAUCUUACAGGCUUUAAUAAUUGGAGGUCGUGGUUUGUGCUGGGCUUACAGCACUGUGUGGCAGUGUAUACAUGUUGGAACAGCCCAUACAGUCAUCUGCACUAAUUUUAGACCACUUAAGCUUAAUUAUUAUUAAGUGUGAAUUUCCACAUGUGACAAAUCUAAAGCAUGUUUUUUGGGUAGAAGCCUGGGUUUGUUUGCACUGUGUGUUUGUGUUCCACUUAACAACUGUGUGCUUUUCUUCCUCAAUGCCUUCCAUUGGCUCCCCUGUCACUAGAGUUGGCUCUCAUAAAAAGCGUCACAAAAUUUAAAGAGUGGGCUCAGAAGCUGGAGUUGUCCAGAGUCCAGCAUGUGUGCUCACUCUUAACUUCACACACACCUCAGACUCCGUGAUGACCAGCAGUGUGUGUACCUUUGCACAGAAAAAAAAAACCCCAACACGUUUUCACAGUAAUAAGACCAAAUACAUAAGGGGUAUACUUAAAAGUGGUUGGGCUGGAAAUCCACUUCCUUUUGCCCCGUGCACCACAACACACACGCACACUCCUAACACACUUAUACCUCUGUGUGAAGAUGCUAUAUCAAUACGACACUAUUCCAGUUUUGUGUGCAGGAAAGUUUUCCAACCCCUUCGACGUUCCUCCUUGCAUGAAGAUCUCUUUUCCAACUUUCAUGAUAGCUUGUCACAUAGAGAACCUUUAAUCUAUAACAACUGUACGUCAGUGUACAAAACAUUCAUUCAUGCAUGCGUUCCAGCUGUAUGUAGGCUUUGCGAUUUGUAUUUAUAGAUUCUAAUGUAUUAUACUCAAAUGACAUAUUAAGAUGGUUUUAAGAUGGAUAUAUCAUAGAUAUGUAAAUCACUGUUUUUAUUGUAACGGUUUGAAUAAUUUGCACAAUAUUAGACAUGGAGAGAUGACUCAUGCUGAACUUGACUGUGCUCUACUUGAGUUUUUUUACUUCAAUUUUUUCCCCCCCUCUGAUAACCACUGUAGGCCGAUCACUGAUCCAUUUACUUUCAGAUUCAGUAGUCCUUUUGCAAUAAGGACAACAGACACUUUGAUUCAUUGGUAAUCCUGCAAUACAACAGUGUUGUCCAAAUGCCUCUGCAUUAUUAUUAUUAUUAUUAUUAUUAUUAUUAUUAUUAUUAUUAUUAUCAUCAUGUAUCUUUAUCAACUGCUGUAAAACUGUGAUCUAAUGUGAGGGGGCCCGUGCAGGCCCCUCAGCGACACCUGAUCGAAGAACAAUAACAUGUAAAAAGACAGAUCAUUAUUGAUGACUAAUAAUGGUUGUACAUGCAUUACUGAGGUUGUGGUUUCAGGUAAAA